rnacentral:rRNA from 1 species
CCUACGGGUGGCAGCAGUGGGGAAUAUUGGACAAUGGGCGAAAGCCUGAUCCAGCCAUGCCGCGUGUGUGAAGAAGGCCUUCGGGUUGUAAAGCACUUUCAGUGGGGAAGAAAGCCUUGGGGCUAAUACCCUCGAGGAAGGACAUCACCCACAGAAGAAGCACCGGCUAACUCCGUGCCAGCAGCCGCGGUAAUACGGAGGGUGCGAGCGUUAAUCGGAAUUACUGGGCGUAAAGCGCGCGUAGGCGGUCUGAUAAGCCGGUUGUGAAAGCCCCGGGCUCAACCUGGGAACGGCAUCCGGAACUGUCAGGCUAGAGUGCAGGAGAGGAAGGUAGAAUUCCCGGUGUAGCGGUGAAAUGCGUAGAGAUCGGGAGGAAUACCAGAGGCGAAGGCGGCCUUCUGGACUGACACUGACGCUGAGGUGCGAAAGCGUGGGUAGCAAACAGGAUUAGAUACCCGUGUAGUC